ACCUUUGCUUAUAAAUACAUACUUGAACCCUAAUGUCCAACAUCACUCAUUCUCUCUUCUUCCUUAAGAAAUCAAAAUUCUCUCUUUCUCUCUUCUUCUUCUUCAACACCAAAAACAAAAGAUUUCUUCCAUCUUUCAUUCUCUCGUCUGCAUAAUAUUACGCAGUUUUCUUCUUUAACAAAGCUCUGUAAAUCUCUUAUAGAGGUGGCUCCACGACGAUGAUCUCUGCAACAAACAACUAUCGUCCGUAAGAUUGAUCUUUGCGGAAAGAAAUCUCGUUUCAUGAUUGAUCUCCAUCCUCUGUUCAAAUCCAUAUCGAUUUCAGAUCCUGUUUACCCUAAUUUCACACCGAUGGAUUCUGUCAACAUCGGCGAAGGAGAGCACCAUGACGGCGGCGAAGGAUGCGAGAGCGGGAAGAGGUUAAUGAAGAGAGAGGCAGUGAAAAGCGACGAGCCAAUAGCAGCGUUGGUGUUUCCAUGGCUGGGACAAACGUCGCCAGAGGAUGAUAGAUUCAUCUCUCUGUUUCAACGAAUAUCACGAGCAACUGAAUGCAGAUUGGAUCUACCUGUCUUCGCUGCCAAGAUGAGGAAGAAACUAUAAACCAUGUACUCUUCAGUUGUUCUUUCGCAAAAAUGGCCUGGCAUCUAUCAAAUAUAUUACAGGCGCUUCAUUUUUCCUCUGAUUUGGAAGAGAACUUUAAUUAUAUCAUUGAUCUUUAUCAUAAUCAAACCCUCACAACCAAUCAAAAAUUGUUCUCUUUCUGGCUCCUUUGGAAAAUAUGGAAGGCACGGAAUAAACUAGUCUUCAACAAAUAUGCUGAAAGUCCGACACGUAUCGUUCAACAAGUCCAGACAGAGAUUCAAGAAUGGAUUAAUAACUUGGGAGAGAAGCAACUACCGAAUAAAAACACAAAAAGCCAGAAUCCUAUGGCGCCUACUUGGACAAGGCCACACCCGUUGAUGGUCAAAUGCAAUUUUGAUGCAGGUUUUGACGCAAGAUUUUCACAUGGUACCGGAGGCUGGAUUAUACGAGAUUCUCAUGGUGAUCCAAAAGCUUGGGGCGCUUCUAAACUUCCGAAUUCAUCAACCCCUUUGGAGGCUGAAGCGAAAGCGCUAUUGAUGGCGAUGCAACAAACUUGGAUAAGGGGGUUUAAGUGCGUUCAAUUUGAAGGUGACUGCGAGAUUCUUCUCAACAUGAUCAAUGGGCACUCCCACCACUGUGACUUGGUUAAUCUACUUCAAGACAUUGAUUAUUGGACAACUAAAUUUUCCUCUGUAAUUUUUACUUUUACUUUUACCGUUCAGGAAAUUGUAUAGCUCAUAAUUUAGCAUGUCUCAAUUCUUUCACUGGAGAGUUUUAUUCAAGCUCUGUUCACAAGCCGAUGUGGCUAAAACGUUUGAUUUGUAAAGAAUCUUUUAUUUGAAUAAAUUAUUGUUUGUUGUA